rnacentral:ncRNA from 1 species
UAAAAUAAAGUUUUAUUAUUGUUUUAAAGGUUAAAUUAAAUUUAAUAUUUACAUGUAAAUAUUAAUAAAAUUUUAAUUUUAUUUAAAUAAUAAAAUAUUUAUUAUUAGUUCGCAGUAGAUAAUUUUAAAUAUUAAUGAAAGUUAGAUUUAGGGAAAAUUUUUAUUAUUAACAAAAUUUGUGCCAGCAGUUGCGGUUAUACAAAUAAUAUAAUUUAACUUUAUUUAGUAUUAAUAUGUAGAUAAUUUAUAAAUUUUUAAAAAAAAUUUAUUAGGUGAAAUUUUAAUUUUAAAAGAAAUUUAUUAUUAAUUAUUAUUUAAGAAAUUUUUUAAUAAACUAGGAUUAGAUACCCUAUUAUUUAAAAUGUAAAUUUAUACUAGAUUAGUAAUAGUUAAGGUCUUAAAAAUUAAAGAUUUUGGCGGUUUUUUAGUCUAUUCAGAGGAACCUGUUCUAUAAUUGAUAAUCCACGAUUAAAUUGACUUUUUUUAUUAGUUUAUAUAUCGUUGUAGAUUAGGGAUAUUUUAAAAGAAUAAUAAUGUUCAAUAAAUAUUUUUUAUAAUAAAUCAGAUCAAGGCAUAGCUUAUAAAGAAGUAGUAAUGGGUUACAUUAAUUGAAAUUAGGAAUUAUUAUUUGAAAAUUAAUAUGAAUUUGGAUUUGAAAGUAAUUUUAUUUAUAUUUAUAGAAUGAUUUAAGCUCUAAAAUAUGUACAUAUCGCCCGUCACUUUCAUUCUAAAGUGAAAUAAGUCGUAACAGAGUAGGUUUACUGGAAAGUGAAUCUGGAAAGG